CCUAGCCUACUCCUAAUACAGUUUAGACUAGACUUCUAAUACAGUUAGACUUCUAACAGAGCCAUUGCUCGUUGGGGAACUAAAAUCUUCUCAACUUGGACAUAAAUCCUUCUAACUAUCUCAAUUUCUAUUGUCAGCGUAGCCAAGAAGAAUUACAUGGGGAACCAAUGCCAUGCUUUCUUAAUGGUGAUUUGGUAUCAAUCUUUUCCUAAUUAAGUCUGCUUGCUAAACUUUUGCUUACAAAUGCUUUAAAAUAAAUAUUAUUUUGUAUUUCUGCACAGAAUAUUCGCAUUUUUGGGCAACAUUCUGUAUUUUCGCAUAGUGUUUUGCUUUUCUGGACAGUGUUUCUGCAUUUAUGAAACCGUUCAUGCAUUUCUGUACAGUUUUGUGUCGUGUGCUUUAUUUUUGUUGUUAAGAUAAUAGCUAGAGCUUUAGAUAUUUGUGUGAGAAGAAAUUUUGAAAUUAGUGACAAGCAAGAUCAUGUGCUGCAAGCAUGUAAUAUAAGCACUGAUUCUUUUUUGGAUGUGGGAAUAUCUUGGCCAGUAUGCUAACCAUAAAAUAUCCAAUUUUCUUUUCUUUUCUCUUUUCAUUUUCAGAUCUACUAAAAGAAAAUUUCACCAAAUAUGGGGCCAUUGGUCUCCUUAUAUGGUUUUGGACAAUUUUCAUCUCUCGAGCUAGCUUUUAGGAUUGUGUUAGGCCCAUGGUUCUUUCUUUGUCAUAGUAUCGGAGUCAAGCCCAUACCAAUUCAUUGUUGCCAAUGCCCAUGUUGGGCCCCACAACAGAUGCCCAGUCCUGGGCAAUCGGGGNNNNNNNNNNNNNNNNNNGGGGGGGGGGGGGGGGGGGGGGGGGGGGGGGUUGAUAUUGCCACAUUGGAUGGGGAUAGGGCCAUUGAUCUCCUUAUAAGUCUUGGGCAAUUCUCAUCUCUCGAGCUAGCUUUUGGGGUUUGAGUUAUAAACGAAAUUGGUGAAUUUCUUGCUUGAUAUUGUGACAAUGUAUUGUAAAUGACCAACUGCUAUUAGUCUUAAGCUUUGUCAGAUGCUUAUGGACCAACAACUUUAACUAUGAUGGUUGUGAAGAAAUAUGAGAAACCUCUACUUAGGUUUUUACUUUCUAUUGAUCCAUAAGCAUGUUCUCACAAUUGCAAAAUUGAUCAACUGCUAGUUAGUAUUUUCCAAAUAUGUUUUUUAACUUGCGUGUCUGUAUCAGAAUGCUCAUAGACUACUGUCUUCUAUAAGAGAAAUUCCCUCUGCAUUUAGAGCUAGGGUGUCAAAUGGGUGGGUUGGGUCAAUUUUGGGCGGAUCAAAAUGGGUUGAGUCAAUAAUUGACCCGCACAAAAGUUACUUGGGCUAAGAUGAGUUGGGUUAAGAUGGGUUAAAAUUCGGGUCAUAACCCAACCCGCCCAAUUCUUAUUAAACUUUAAUUAAUAUGUGUUAUUUUCUUAUAAAUUGUAUAAUUACUAAAUAAGUCUUUUUAGCUUUUGUUAUGGUCAUAUUUAAAAUAUUAAAUAAAAAAUAAAAUUAUUUCUAAGAUAUUUUGACAAACUUACUCAUGUAUCAAUUUGGCCUAAAAAAUAGCCCAACUUUAAAUGGGUUGAGAUGGGUUGGGUCAAGAUGGGCUAAGUUCAAUGAAUGAGUGGGUCAAUAACCAACCCAAACUUGGGCGGGUUGGGCGGAUCAUUUGGUUUUGGGCCAAAUUUGACAGCCCUACUUAAGAGCUCAGCAUUAUGCUUUAUUUGAUUUGUCAAUAUUUAACACAUUGACAGAUAUAUUGAGACAAUUUGUGAAUAGUUUACAAACCAAAAUAGCUGGUAAGAGUACCACAAUUGUUCAAGCCAUGCUUAGAUAAGGUUCCAGUCAUGCAUGAAUGAGGCAAGAUUUGCUUCUUCUGCGUAUACCCAUGAUUUACCAUUGCUAGUUACUCUUAUUCAUUUAAUGCUUGUUAUGAAUGUGAUUUAGAGUUAAAUGGAUAAGUUAAAAUAUUGUGGAUUGUGAUUCUUUGUUUUUUUUUCUUUUUUCGAUAGCUCUUAUUAUAUUGCUGUUGAUAAUACCUGCUCUCUUAUUAUCCUGUUAUAGUUACUGCUUGUUUCUUGCUGUUGGUAUUGCUGUUGUUACUGCUUUCUUUUCUUUCCUUGAGCUGAGGGUCUAUUGGAAACAGCCUCUCCACGCACAUACUACCUCCCCAGACCCCACUCGUGGUAUUAGAGUUUGUUAUUUUUGUUGUUGUUUUUCAAUAGCAAGGAUCAGGUUCUUCAAAAUGAGAAUAGAAGUCGACCAAGGAUAAGGUGGUGUUUGAAGACAGAGAAGACAUUUUAUGUACUUUUGAGUCAUAUUUGUAUAGAGUGAAGGGUAUCAUGAUAAAUUCAAUACUUUAUAGUAAUUAUAUAGACAUUUUAUUAGCAAUGAAAAGUUGUGAUACAGUUCUAUUUGGAAAAUGCACUUGGUGUGUCUAUUCCAUACUUCAAUCUCACAGUUAUUGCAUAAAAACGAGAAGUCAAUGCGUUUGAAGAACAUAUUCAAUAAUCUCAAUUAUUCCAAGAUUAAUAAGAAUAAAGUUACGUUGUUAUUAGGAAAUGCAAUGGACUUGCAAGAUUACUCCUUUAUGCACAAAUCACAGUUUUGACUUGAAA
rnacentral:lncRNA from 1 species